rnacentral:rRNA from 1 species
CGUACCUAAGCCUAGGGGAAACCCGAUGCAGAUGCCGGCCUUUUUUCUCACAUGAGUGUUUGUGGGCCGCGCUGCG